GAUAAACGCUGGCGGCGUGCAUGAGACAUGCAAGUCGAACGAACGAGCUUGCUCGUUAGUGGCGGACGGCUGAGUAACGCGUAGGUGACCUGCCCCGAAGUGGGGGAUAACUGCCCGAAAGGGUGGCUAAUACCGCAUGUGGCGAUGCGUUCAUUCGCAUCAUCAAAGCCGCGAGGCGCUUCGGGAGGGGCCUGCGUCCGAUUAGCUCGUUGGUGGGGUAACGGCUCACCAAGGCGACGAUCGGUAGGUGGUCUGAGAGGACGAUCACCCAGACUGGGACUGAGACACGGCCCAGACUCCUACGGGAGGCAGCAGUGGGGAAUAUUGGACAAUGGGCGAAAGCCUGAUCCAGCCAUGCCGCGUGUGUGAAGAAGGCCUUCGGGUUGUAAAGCACUUUAAGCGAGGAGGAAUGGCUCUUGGUUAAUAACCUUGAGCAGUGACGUUACUCGCAGAAUAAGCACCGGCUAA
rnacentral:rRNA from 1 species